rnacentral:rRNA from 1 species
CGGGAAUAUUGCGCAAUGGAGGAAACUCUGACGCAGUGACGCCGCGUAUAGGAUGAAGGUUUUCGGAUUGUAAACUAUUGUCAUUAGGGAAGAUAAAAGACAGUACCUAAGGAGGAAGCUCCGGCUAACUACGUGCCAGCAGCCGCGGUAAUACGUAGGGAGCAAGCGUUAUCCGGAUUUAUUGGGUGUAAAGGGUGCGUAGACGGGAAAUUAAGUUAGUUGUGAAAGCCCUCGGCUUAACUGAGGAAUUGCAACUAAAACUGGUUUUCUUGAGUGCAGGAGAGGUAAGUGGAAUUCCUAGUGUAGCGGUGAAAUGCGUAGAUAUUAGGAGGAACACCAGUGGCGAAGGCGACUUACUGGACUGUAACUGACGUUGAGGCACGAAAGUGUGGGGAGCAAACAGGAUUAGAUACCCUGGUAGUCCACACCGUAAACGAUGGAUACUAGGUGUAGGAUGUGUUAAACAUUCUGUGCCGUCGCAAACGCAGUAAGUAUCCCACCUGGGGAGUACGGCCGCAAGGUUGAAACUCAAAGGAAUUGACGGGGGCCCGCACAAGCAGUGGAGUAUGUGGUUUAAUUCGAAGCAACGCGAAGAACCUUACCAGGGCUUGACAUAUACAGGAAUAUAUUAGAGAUAGUAUAGCUCUUCGGAGUCUGUAUACAGGUGGUGCAUGGUUGUCGUCAGCUCGUGUCGUGAGAUGUUGGGUUAAGUCCCGCAACGAGCGCAACCCCUAUUUCUAGUUGCCAGCACAUUAAGGUGGGAACUCUAGAGAGACUGCCGGUGAUAAAUCGGAGGAAGGUGGGGACGACGUCAAAUCAUCAUGCCCUUUAUGUCCUGGGCUACACACGUACUACAAUGGCCGCUACAGAGGGAUGCUAAGCCGCGAGGUAGAGCCAAACCCUAAAAACGGUCUCAGUUCGGAUUGAAGGCUGAAAUUCGCCUUCAUGAAGCUGGAAUUGCUAGUAAUGGCAGGUCAGCAUACUGCCGUGAAUACGUUCCCG